rnacentral:rRNA from 1 species
CUUUUCUGGUCGGCGAGCAAAGCAGAGGAGAGAAUAGGUGAGUGAAAGGGGUGUCCGUUUCUUCAUCGAGGAGGUACCGGCCGCUUGUGGCGCUACAACUAGACGAACGAACAGUCUCGUCCUCCCAAACGAGGCACGAGCAGGAUUGCGCCGCGAGCACUCGCUUGACGCGUGGUUGGGACGCCGGUGCUGCAGGGAGCGGGGCGCGCCGCGAGCAUUCGUUCGACGCGCGGCAAGGACUCCGGCGUGGGAGGCAGCGGGCCGCGCCGCGAGCAGCCGCUCGACGCGCGGCAAGCACUCCGGCGUCGGAGGCAGCGGGCCGCGAAGCGAGCAACAGCUAGACGCGCGGUAAGGACUCCAGCGUCGGAGGACAGUGGCCCACGCCGCGAGCAGCCGCUCGACGCGCGGCAAGGAAGAGCCGCCAAUAGAAGCACCGGGACAAACAGGGCAAACAGCGCGGAGUCGAUGACUCGAAGCAGGUCGUGCAUAGUAUUGUACCGACGCUUCUGAACGGCACCAACUUCCUAACCGCUCCAAACGGACGAGGGGCUUUUACGAGGGUAGGCACGAAGCACCUUUUCUGGUCGGCGAGCAAAGCAGAGGAGAGAAUAGGUGAGUGAAAGGGGUGUCCGUUUCUUCAUCGAGGAGGUACCGGCCGCUUGUGGCGCUACAACUAGACGAACGAACAGUCUCGUCCUCCCAAACGAGGCACGAGCAGGAUUGCGCCGCGAGCACUCGCUUGACGCGUGGUUGGGACGCCGGUGCUGCAGGGAGCGGGGCGCGCCGCGAGCAUUCGUUCGACGCGCGGCAAGGACUCCGGCGUGGGAGGCAGCGGGCCGCGCCGCGAGCAGCCGCUCGACGCGCGGCAAGCACUCCGGCGUCGGAGGCAGCGGGCCGCGAAGCGAGCAACAGCUAGACGCGCGGUAAGGACUCCAGCGUCGGAGGACAGUGGCCCACGCCGCGAGCAGCCGCUCGACGCGCGGCAAGGAAGAGCCGCCAAUAGAAGCACCGGGACAAACAGGGCAAACAGCGCGGAGUCGAUGACUCGAAGCAGGUCGUGCAUAGUAUUGUACCGACGCUUCUGAACGGCACCAACUUCCAUGCAGCAGGUUAAUGAGUUCAUAUACUGGCGACAAGAAGAUUAAAGACUUGGUUUACGAUAAAAACAGGCACACUCCAGCCACUCUACGUUCGUUGAUACGAAAACCUGUUCUUGACACGAAAACCAGACUGAACUAAUUCGAUGCGUACAGUUACUUGAUUAUAUGUAUGCGGAAGAAUUUAGAUACGAAAACCUGUCGUUCAUACGUAACCAGAGUGAAUUAAUUCAUCACGUAAGCUAGCUAUACGUGUCUGAGGGGUAUUUAGGUUAUUAUAUAAUGUUCAAAUAUCACUUCAUCUUUUUUUUUGUACUCAGAGACUAUUGCUACUGUCUAAUUCAACCGAAAACAACAACCUUCUUCUGAACUAAAACUGGACAGUAACAUGGUUGCCUACCGAUGUCACCCCGUAAACUACGACCCACAGAAUAGUAGUAUGAUUCCCGGUCAAGAAAAGCCGCUAAGAGGGUCUUAGCGGGGGGAGACGUCGAAGAGGAUCUUAGCGGUGGGGUAUGAAAAAAAUGUUAGGAUAGAUCAAUUCCAGAUUAAUCGAUCCUAACAUUUUUUUGUAUACCUUACCACUAAGAUGCUCUUCGACCCCUCCCCCCGCUAAGAUCAUCUUAGCGGGUUUUCUUGACUGGGAUUACCCCACGACAUCACUCCGUAAGCCUCAAUCCACAGGACAGUAGCAUGGUUGCCUACCGACGUCACUACGUAAACCUCGAACCAAGUAGCAUGGUUACCUGCUGACGUCGCUCCGUAAGUCUCAACCCACAGGAGAGUAACAUGGUUGUCAACCAACGUUGCUCUGUAAACCUCGACCCACAGAAGAGUAGCAUUGUUCUCUGCCGUUAUCGCUCCGUAGGUCUCGACUCAACGUAACAAGACUUAUCCAUAUGUGCACUAAACAGCCUUGAGGGUUUAAUGGGACACUCAUCAUCAUGGUUUCCAAUCACAGGUAUUUAGAAAUUUUACUAUUUUGACUUUAGACUCACAUCCAUCGAAUAUGGUAAUUCGAUAACAUUACAACGUUAAGUCGACCGUUAGAAACCAGAACAGGUAUGUAGCGGUAUCCUAAAUCCUAACCCAACAUGACACCAUCUAUACGUCCGUAAACUAAGCAUUUUUGGAGGCUUACUGGGAUAUUUUGUACCACACUAUUUAGAACAUAUUGAAUUCAAAAAUACAGUCUAGUUCACACUUAAAUAAAUAUGGUAACUCGACGGUACUCCAACAUCACGAUGUCCUAAUAGAUGAAAGGAAAAGGAGAAACUAAAACGAAAGAGAUUCGGUGGUUAUCCAGAUGAACGAGGAACUUAUCAGAAGAGGAAGUUGAACUAUGGAAAACCGAAUCGUUCGGGGAAUAAAACAAAACUUGAACAUGUACUCAAUUACAAAGCAAGACGUUUAUAUAUAAAUUUAUUUUAAGUUCAAACUAUUGUAAUAUUUUGAUGUGUGGGUAUAAUCACCCAGAUGAACUGGGAGCUUGUCAGAAGAAAAAUUGGAACAAUGGACAACCUAACCGUUUAGGGAGUAAAACAAGACUUGGACAUCUGCUCAAUUACAAGCCCAGACAUUGAUAUUUUCGUUUGUAUCCAAUCAAACU